rnacentral:rRNA from 1 species
GAUGAACGCUGGCGGCGUGCCUAAUACAUGCAAGUCGAGCGAACAGACGAGGAGCUUGCUCCUCUGACGUUAGCGGCGGACGGGUGAGUAACACGUGGAUAACCUACCUAUAAGACUGGGAUAACUUCGGGAAACCGGAGCUAAUACCGGAUAAUAUAUUGAACCGCAUGGUUCAAUAGUGAAAGACGGUUUUGCUGUCACUUAUAGAUGGAUCCGGGCCGGAUUAGCUAGUUGGUAAGGUAACGGCUUACCAAGGCAACGAUGCGUAGCCGACCUGAGAGGGUGAUCAGCCACACUGGAACUGAGACACGGUCCAGACUCCUACGGGAGGCAGCAGUGGGGAAUCUUCCGCAAUGGGCGAAAGCCUGACGGAGCAACGCCGCGUGUGUGAAGAAGUCUUCCGGUCUGUAAACCCUGUUAAUAGGGAAGAAAAAAUGUGAAAGUAACUAUGCACUGCUUGAAGGUUCCUAAUAAAAUAGCCACGGCCAACUUUGUG